CCUACGGGUGGCAGCAGUGAGGAAUAUUGGUCAAUGUCCGAGAGGCUGAACCAGCCAAGUCUCGUGAGGGAAGACGGCCCUACGGGUUGUAAACCUCUUUUGUCGGGGAGCAAAGAGAGUCACGUGUGACUCAUUGAGAGUACCCGAAGAAAAGGCAUCGGCUAACUCCGUGCCAGCAGCCGCGGUAAUACGGAGGAUGCGAGGGUUAUCCGGAUUUAUUGGGUUUAAGGGGUGCGCAGGCGGAGGUGCAAGUCAGCGGUAAAAUUGCGGGGCUCAACCCCGUACUGCCGUUGAAACUGCAUCCCUUGAGUGCGCGAGAAGUAUGCGGAAUGCGUGGUGUAGCGGUGAAAUGCAUAGAUAUCACGCAGAACUCCGAUUGCGAAGGCAGCAUACCGGCGCGCAACUGACGCUCAUGCACGAAAGCGUGGGUAUCGAACAGGAUUAGAUACCCGAGUAGUC
rnacentral:rRNA from 1 species